AUACUGGCAAGUCCGAACGCUUCUUUUUUCCACCGGGAGCUUGCUCCACCGGAAAAAGAGGAGUGGCGAACGGGUGAGUAACACGUGGGUAACCUGCCCAUCAGAAGGGGAUAACACUUGGAAACAGGUGCUAAUACCGUAUAACAAUCGAAACCGCAUGGUUUUGAUUUGAAAGGCGCUUUCGGGUGUCGCUGAUGGAUGGACCCGCGGUGCAUUAGCUAGUUGGUGAGGUAACGGCUCACCAAGGCCACGAUGCAUAGCCGACCUGAGAGGGUGAUCGGCCACAUUGGGACUGAAACACGGCCCAAACUCCUACGGGAGGCAGCAGUAGGGAAUCUUCGGCAAUGGACGAAAGUCUGACCGAGCAACCCCCCGUGAGUGAAAAAGGUUUUCCGAUCGUAAAACUCUGUUGUUAGACAAAAGCAAGGGUGAAAGUAUCUCUGUCAACCCUUGAGACCGUAUCUCCCCAGAGAGCCACGGGUAAAACGCGUGGCAACGCGCGCGGAAAAUACAUGUGAGGAAAA
rnacentral:rRNA from 1 species